UCGCAAGGGAAAAAGCGCGCCCUCUUAUUGGGCGCGCACACCCUGCGCUUCUUCUUUUCUGUCGCACAUUUCCUUCUCUUUUAUUUUUUCCACGAAAGGCAAACGGACGGCUUUGGCAGGAUGCCCGGCGAGGGCAAGUUGGCAUGGCGAGACGAUUUUCGCGUGCGGGGGCUCGCACGAGGGCCUGCACGCACAGGGCGCGGGCGGGCGAGAGGCCGGCGUCGGGCGUCGGAGAAAAAAGGGGGCGACGUAGAAACGAGACAAGCCGCACCAGAGACACGACGCCGCAUGCAGCCCAAGAGAAAAUGUGACCGAGAGGGGUGUGCUUUUUUACAGGCAUAUGCGACCAACAUGAACGAACCGACAGACAAGCCCGCCGUCCUCUUUCCGCAGCCCGCAUGCACUCUGGGUGCUCCCCCGCCGAGAUCUCUUGCCGUUUUCCUCUCUCUCUCUCUCUCUCUCUCUUCUCUCUUCUCUCGCGCUCUGCAGAGAAAUGGCGCCGCCUUUUGUUGUUGUUGUAUUUUUUUGUGUCGGCCCAAAGAGAUCUCUUGAUUUUUUAGGGCUUCCGAGUAGUGCUGGUUAACGGCCCGCUCUUCCAGUUUCCAUCCAAC
rnacentral:lncRNA from 1 species